CCUACGGGGGGCUGCAGUGAGGAAUAUUGGUCAAUGGGCGCAAGCCUGAACCAGCCAUCCCGCGUGAAGGAAGAAGGCGCUAUGCGUUGUAAACUUCUUUUCCAGGGGGAGAAUUUUUCCGUCGUGACGGGAAUUGACGGUACUCUGGGAAUAAGCAUCGGCUAACUCCGUGCCAGCAGCCGCGGUAAUACGGAGGAUGCGAGCGUUAUCCGGAUUUAUUGGGUUUAAAGGGUGCGUAGGCGGAUCAAUAAGUCAGUGGUGAAAUUCUGCAGCUUAACUGUAGACUUGCCAUUGAUACUGUUGGUCUUGAGUAUGGUCAAGGUAGGCGGAAUGUGUAAUGUAGCGGUGAAAUGCUUAGAUAUUACACAGAACACCGAUUGCGAAGGCAGCUUGCUGGGCCAAUACUGACGCUGAUGCACGAAAGCGUGGGGAUCGAACAGGAUUAGAUACCCCAGUAGUC
rnacentral:rRNA from 1 species